GCUCAUUCGGCUUAUUCGCAGCAUUAACACUUGUUAAGGAAGCACCGCUUUCUAAAGUUCUGCACACACAUUGAUUUUCAGCUCAAAACCAAAGCUAGAAUCGAAAUUUCUGAUGUAUUAAGCAGCUGCAAACAUUCAAUCCGAAUCACACCAGCACUAUGAUUUUGAAGCUUUAAUUUUGAUCGUUCAGAUAUGGAACGAGCUCCGAAAAUGGCGCCUGAUCAAAUUUCUCAUUGCGCAAGAUUCUCUCUUUCCAUUAUCAUACACGCCGCAGCUCGAAGCCCCUCGAGAUUCAGCCUGUGGCUCGUGCAUUAAGCAGCUGAACAUGUAACAUCUAUGCAUGAAAGAAGAGCGUAGGGAGCGGUGGAUGUUGCACCGAAAGAUGAUUGAGUAGAAUCCUAGUACUGUUAUUCCUUCAUUUAACUUGUUUUGGGAGUAAAUGGGCAGUCUCGCGUAUAAUUUGGACGUUGUAGAACUUGUUGUGGCUGAUUCGUGCUUUUGCUGCCCUGGAACAUAUUGGUUACAUGGAACAAAAAUGCUCGGUUUUUUCUGGACAAGCACUAGAGCUGAUAUAUUUUUUUUUUUCUCAUUGAUGAAGUGCUUAAGGAGUAAAGAAUUUAGCAUUUUGAUUGUGCAGAAGUUUGUUUAGAAAACAAAUUAUCUUUUGCAGGGCAAUAAACUAAUCUUAUGAGACUUUGAACUAGGAAGGAAUGUCUGCUUAAAAUUAGUAGGUGAUCUUUGAAAUUCUUUUAUUGGAGGUGAAUUCAGAAUUUCGAUUGUAAAAAUCAAGGAACAAAGAAUUUGAAUCACAUUCAUUAAAUUGAAUUCUGGACCUGUUGGCAUUUGCAUUUUGCAAUCAUAAAUCAAUAAACUCAUUGAAGAUAGUGUGUAACUUUUGUCUGUACAAUAUGAUAAUUAAGGAGAAUUGAAGGCAAACCAUCUAUUUGCAGUUCUAACGCUGUGUGGUUUCUCGUUGUGGAAGCACACCUCCUAGAACAUUAAUUGUACUUCUGGCCACGAUAACAACUCUCAUGCAUCCUACCCCUGUAGUCGCUGUAGCGCCUGAAUAUAAUCUGGAAUAGUACCGUCAAAUUGCUGGUUUUGUGGGUUUUCUGCAUAGGCAACAUAAUAUGCUGCAACGCUAGCUUGUAUCCAUGCCAUGGCGACUCUAUUCUGCAUUUUGUAGAAGUUAAAAUUAAUUUGCAGCUAUUAUCACAAUGGUAUUUUUUUUCUAUAGGAUUUGGGUUCUUACCACUAAGUACCCAGUCAAGAAUGCGUACAGCGACACUUCUGUUGCGUAGUUUUUGUGGACGAGAAGAGCCCAAGUUCCUGCAACCAGCGCAGACAAUGAUCCAGCUGCAACGCCGCACAGGAAGCAGAAUGAGCUAGUGAGGUCAGUAUCAAUCAACUUUUGAAUUCCAAUCCUGCUAAACAUCUCCCAUGUAUCCUUCGAAGCCUGCACGAUUCCUUUGUUAUACAUCCCUACCUGCACGAAACCCCAUCUAUUUCCGUACGCUACAAGCCUUUUAGCUACUCCCGUGCAGCAACUUGCACACGAGAACAUGAACUCAUCCACGUCUCCAGAGACCAAGCUUAUGGCCCGAGCCAAACCCCGGAUGGUGCCAAGAACCGGUACAAGAAUCGAGCCAAAGCAUACGCUCCCCAUCGAGUUCUGAGCCGAGUCUCUUACCACUGUUUUAAGAUCAACCUCUGUUCCACUUGCAAAUCUCAUGAAUUUUAUGUGUGAUACAGUGACGAACGUCAUGUUCCUUGCUACGUGCAGUGUCCAUGUGAAACUUAAAAGGCUCAGGAAUAUGAACAGAGUGUUGAGCAUCUUCAUACCAGUCAUGGUUGCUCCCCCGAUGCCGGACAUCAGGAAAGCGGAAUAGAAGGUACAAAUGAAUAUUGAUAGAGGUGCCACAGUUUUGAUUCUUGGAGGAUGAGAUGCCACCGAAACUACGAGAAUCCUUCUGCCGUGCUGAAACCUGGGACGGAUCCAGCACGCGUACAGGGAUUGUAACACAGCAGAAGCUAGAGCGAAUACAGCUGCUGCUGCACUCCCCCGAGAGCCUAUGAUGACGAGUAAAAUCCCAUACGCGCAGGUGACUAGAGGGCUAAUGACGAAUGCAGCCUUGAAUGCUCCCGAGGGAUUGAUGCUCGUGAACAACUGCCAUGCGAAUCCUGAAAUUCCUGCACAAGCUGUCGAGGUGAGGACUGGAAAGUACCAUUUCUUUGGGUGAUAACGAUGACUGUCUGCGGGCGAUACAACGCCACGAACUGUGAGAUACAACUCCAGGAUUAUGAUGAAGAGAAACUGUAUGCAGAAAAUGUAUUUAAAGAUCUUGGAGAGUAAGUUUCUCUCCCUCAUCUCCAAGGGAGCACCAUUUCUUUCCUGUAUCUGCAUUGAGAAAUCACUUCUGGAUCGGAGCACGAUGAACUCGAACGCAGGGGAACGACGGAGUCAAGAAGGCGAGAAACAGAGUUUCAGAUUCUUGAAGAGAAAGAUGUUUGUAGUGUUGAUGAAUGAAUUCAAGGUAAUUGCACUGUUUGAUCCCUUCAUCUAUCAUUAUUAACUGUGGAUGAUGCUGUUCUUGGUUCAAUUACUUGACACCCACGAUUUAGCAAAGAGAUGUGAUUAAGUUUUGGCCAUUUGAGUGCAUAACCUCUGAGAUGAAAGUCUUCUCAACAGCAUUAUUUUAUUUGAAGUCUUGUUGAAGAGAAUUAAUUGUAUAUUAUUGUCUCUUAUUUGAUGCA